AUUAUUUUGAGGUUAAGUACAUAAAUUCUGUAAUUUAUUUCAGGAGAGUAAAAAAAGGACUUCCAAAACAUUUCUUUUAAAAAACUGUCAUUGUGUCUCAUAGAGUUAAGAACCAACUUUGAUAGAAGAUGCAUUGAGAAAUGGGUACCGCAAAGAACCAUGGUACUGGAGUUGAGUUAAAAGACCUUGGGUUAUGAUCUGGGCUCUGCUUUGUGACUGAUCACCAUAAAAAUACCAGAAAUUUCUUCAGUUCCUAGCAAGCAUUUGGAAGCCCAUUUUUGUAAAAGGCAUUGCUCUGAGUCUAGAGGAUAAAAGGAUGCCAUGGAGUUGGAGAAGAUAAAGAUGGAAGGCAAUG